CUAGAUUAUUAUUUUAAUAGUUGAAGUGUUAAACUGAUAUAAUAAAAGACAAGUCAAGUUGUCUAGAUAUACAUGUAAAAUGUUUACUUGUCGGUUGGUUACCAAAUUUGAAUGUCGAUUUAUGUAUUAUGCCAAAAAUUAUUUAUGACCAAAUGGCCCCUAAACAAGAAGAAUUAGUGUAAUGAACCCAUUCCUUCUCUCUUCUUGUAGCUCCUCUUUCUCUUUGCAUCCAUACAAUUUCUAUGCACUUUACACACACACAACAUCAAUGUUCUCUAUGGUAUGAUUUUUUAUGAUCAAAUUUGUGUAUUUUUUUCUUCUUGAAAUUGCUAAAAAGAGUUUGUUAAGCUUAAAUUGUACUAUACUUUGCUAUUUAUAUACCCUUUUCUCAGAUCUUGAAUAUAACUAGUUCUGUUUAAUCCAAAUUGUAUCUUUUUUAUUCAAAUUGCUGUAAAGGGUUCUUGAUUUGGGUUAUCUUAGCUUAAACAUUAUAUUUCUCUGCAAUUUUGAUAUAAAGUUACUAAGUUCUGUUUAGUCACAGUCAUAUCUUGUUAUUAAGGGUUCUUGAUCUGGGAUUUCUCUGCAAUUUUAAUUCAAAGUUACUAUUUCUGUUUAAUCAAAAUUGUAUCUUUUCCUUUAAAUUUGCCAUAAAGGGUGUCUGUGCAUAGUAAGCAUAACAUCAUGUUACGAUUCGAUGUCGUUUUUCUCCGAAAACCACAAUGUUUUGCAGGUAGAAGAAGCCCUGAUUAGCAAUGAUAUAGACAUAGGGACAGUAUCUUCAAAUUGAUUACCACUGUAGAGAAUUCCCACUGAAAUUAUUGCUUCCCAAAUCUAGCACUAAUAGCUAAGCAAUGUGGAACCGAGUCAUUGUUGUGUGAUAAUUCCAGCAAUUUAAUGCCACUCACUCCCAUAACCCUGUUUGGUACUCAAAUUUCUGGAAUUAUCACACAACAAUGACUCGGUUCCACAUUUGCUUCAGCAACAUGGCUAAGCUGGUGCUGGGUUUGAGAAGUAAUAAUUUUGGUGUGAGUCUCUUUUCGCUAGCUGUUAUAUACUUGGAGCACUUCAUAUUUGAGAUUCAUCGCCUUGGAUGGUAGUCAAUUUAAAGGAACUGUCCUAUGCCCUCUCCUCUAUGAUGCCGAUAGUUUGAUACAAGAAACCUUUUGACUCCUUGUAUUUCAUUGUUCAGACCAAUGAUAUAGGUAAUAACAUUAGAAACCAUAUAGAGGAGAUCUAUCCAAGUGUAAUCAAUAUUGUCAUUCGGGUAUAACGUUUGGGGUUCGUGUGUGAUUGUGUUAUAGUAGCAAUGCCAGCUUUUGGCGUCAACUCUGUCGAAGUUGGCUAGUGGCUCUUAUAGUGAAGAAGAUGAGGAGGAUGUGAUGUUAGUGGAGUUGGUAACCUUAUUCUUGUACAAUUAUCCUUUUUCAUAUACAGUACUCAGUUUUAGAUGCCCUCCCUACAUAUAUGUUAUCUAUCUUCCAUAUACCCCAGUCAGUAGUUCAAAGGUUGGAUAAAAUCAGAAGAAACUUCUUAUGGCAAGGCAAUAAGGAAAGGAAAGGUUUUCAUUUGGUCAAAUGGAAGAACAUUAUCAGAAGCAAAGAACAAGGUGGACUAGGCAUCAAGAACCUUAAAUACCAAAGCAAAGCACUCAAGGUCAAGUGGCUAUGGAGGUACCAUCAGGAGGACCAAGCACUCUGGUACAGGGUAAUCAAGAGCAAGUAUGAGCAACUGAACACAUGGGUAACUAAAGAGGUCAACACCCCUUAUGGUAUUAGCCUCUGGAAAUCCAUUAGAAUAUUCUGGCAGUUUCUUAGUAAUCAAUUAACUGUCAAAGUUCGAAAUGGCAGAAAAACAAGUUUUUGGAUUGAUAAAUGGAUGGGUACUGUGAGCCUUAAAGAUCUCUUUCCUGACAUCUUUGUUUUGGCUCAACACCAAGAGAAAACUGUUGCUGAAAUGUGGUCACCACAAGGAUGGAAUAUGAUCUUUAGAAGAAACUUGAAUGACUGGGAAAUUCCCAGAAUGAUUGAACUCUUCACACUUCUGGAGAGUUUCCAAGGAAUCCAAACAGGUGAAGACUAUUUAUGGUGGCAUGGGCACAACAAAGGAAGAUACAGGGUGAAGGAAGGAUAUAAACAAACAAGUCUUAGGGAGAAUCAAGACUUCAAAUGGCCUUGGAAGCAAAUCUGGAGAGUCAAAGUGCCACAAAAAGUGGCAUGCUUCACCUGGCUGCUAGCCAAUGAAGCAGUUCUGACAUUGGACAAUGUGGCCAAGAGAGGUAUAUCUCUAUGCAACAGAUGCUCCUUAUGUGGUAAGGAUACAACAGUAAAACACCUCUUUCUACACUGCAAUUUCACUGACCAACUGUGGCAGAUUUUCCUUAAUCUCAGAGGCAUUUCCUGGAGUAUGCCUAGCAAGAUUGAUGAGACUCUUUUCAGUUGGGAGGAGGCUGGAGUUGGGGCUACAAACAGAGAAAGAUGGAGGAUGAUCCCUGCUUGUAUAUGGUGGACUAUAUGGAGAGAGAGAAAUGAUAGAUGCCCUUAUGGUAUUAGCCUCUGGAAAUCCAUUAGAAUAUUCUGGCAGUUUCUCAGUAAUCAAUUAACUGUCAAAGUUCGAAAUGGCAGAAAAACAAGUUUUUGGAUUGAUAAAUGGAUGGGUACUGUGAGCCUUAAAGAUCUCUUUCCUGACAUCUUUGUUUUGGCUCAACACCAAGAGAAAACUGUUGCUGAAAUGUGGUCACCACAAGGAUGGAAUAUGAUCUUUAGAAGAAACUUGAAUGAUUGGGAAAUUCCUAGAAUGAUUGAACUUUUCAAGCUACUGGAGAGUUUCCAAGGAAUCCAAACAGGUGAAGACUAUUUAUGGUGGCAUGGGCACAACAAAGGAAGAUACAGGGUGAAGGAAGGAUAUAAACAAACAAGUCUUAGGGAGAAUCAAGACUUCAAAUGGCCUUGGAAGCAAAUCUGGAGAGUCAAAGUGCCACAAAAAGUGGCAUGCUUCACCUGGCUGCUAGCCAAUGAAGCAGUUCUGACAUUGGACAAUGUGGCCAAGAGAGGUAUAUCUCUAUGCAACAGAUGCUCCUUAUGUGGUAAGGAUACAACAGUAAAACACCUCUUUCUACACUGCAAUUUCACUGACCAACUGUGGCAGAUUUUCCUUAAUCUCAGAGGCAUUUCCUGGAGUAUGCCUAGCAAGAUUGAUGAGUCUCUUUUCAGUUGGGAGGAGGCUGGAGUUGGGGCUACAAACAGAGAAAGAUGGAGGAUGAUCCCUGCUUGUAUAUGGUGGACUAUAUGGAGAGAGAGAAAUGAUAGAUGUUUUGAAUAUAGGGACAACAACCUGCAGGAAGUCAAGCUUAAAUGUAUUUUGCUGUUCUGUUUUUGGUGUAUAAAUGUCUACUCCAAUGAGACUGAGUCAAUCAUAGAUGUUUUAGGGUCCAUCUAGAUCCUGGUUUAGCAUUGGAAAGACUAAUCUUUUUCUUCUUUUUUGUAAAUAUGGUUUUUUAGUACUACCUAAGUACUGACUGAAAUACAAAUGUUACUAGUGUCAAAAAAAAUAUACUUUUACUUGUUUUAGUAGGUAACCAGCUUCAAUGUUAGUAUCUUUUAUGAGACUUGAUAGGGUUAGAGUCCUUCUACGUUGUCGGUUUAUAGAAGCUUAAUCUCUUCUCAAUAACAAUGAUAUCUGAUGUGUUUGCGCAUCUGUACUUGUAAUUCUCCUACGGGUACAUUGUUGUAACGUCUCCAAUAGCAUGCUCUUACUUUGUCUUUCCCUUAAUACGUCAUCAAAUUUGGUUCUUUUUGAUCCCCAGUUGCUAUCUAUAGAUAUGCAUAUUUGAUUAUCUGAGGUCUAACUCCUACACCAUAGCUUCAGUAAUUUUUCAUGAUCACAGAUCACAUGCCUCAGGCUGCUUGUUUGUUACAACAACAACAUACCCAAUGUAAUCUCAUAAGUAGGGUCUGAGGAGAGUGUUGUGUAUGCAGUAACGCAGACCUUACCCCUACCUUGUGAGGUAGAGAGGUUGUUUCCGAUAGACCCUCAGCUCAGCUAGAGCAUAUCAAAUCAAGUACGAAUAGGAAAUACAAUAGUGAGGAAGUCACGUUGAAAAUAUUGGUGGAAAGAACAGUAGCGAUAGCAAGUAAUACAAUAAUUGAAGCAAAGGAAACAACAUGUAAUGUUAUACUAGACAUAUAGUUCAUCUAAUGUUGGUCUCAGAAUUUCUUUUACACUUUGUAAUGUUAUACCAUACAGCUCGGAUUAUCUACUAUUACCUGCAUUAUCCCUCUAUUACAGCUCAAAAAGACCUGAGUAACUAGAAAUAAAUCACCUUAUAUUUUGUAUCUUCUGCUAGGCCUCCUUUCCUUUUUUGGAUUAUUUUCCUUGAGCGAGGGUCUAUCGGAAACAAUUUCUCGACCUAUGAGUUAGGGGUAAGGUUUGCGUACACUCUACCCUCCCCAGACCCUACUUUGUGGGACUAUACUGGGUAUGUUGUUGUUGUUCUUUUGUUUUCUUCUACUUAUUUGUGGCUCAUCCUUGCAAUGGGAUGUAAUUUGAUCAACAUGAGUUUGAAUGAUCGAGGUCUAUCUCCUUGCUUUCAAUAAUUGUGUUGGGGUUGACUAUAUGAAUCAUCUGAUCGAUUCCGCUCUUAGACUAUUUUUACAUUGAUUGUCGACUUAUUGUAGAUCUCUUCUUUGUAGUUGAUUUUCCCUGUUCAUUUAUUACCUUACUUGUGUCUAUGUGAUGAUUGCCGACUCCAAUGUUGCUUGGACUCUUCGUAAUUGUCCCUAGUGCUUGUCGGAUCCUCCAAAAGAAGAUCCGAUAUGGGAAAUGCAACAUUUCUCGAAAGUCCUAGUAACAUAGUUCAAGGCAAUAACAUGAUGAAAUUCAAAUAUAUCUCAAUUUAGAUUGGUUAAAAGUAUCCUGGUGGUUGUUGAGCCUUGUGAUUAGCCACAAAAUAUUAUGUUGCUCGGAUUCUUCAAAUAUACAGUUGAGUGCAUGUCAGAUCCUUCGAAAGUAGCACAUUUUAAGAGGAUCCAACAAGGGCGCGGAAGCAUUUUUCGAAGUGGUUAUACAUUGAUAUGUGUAACUUCAAUGUGUAGAUUAUGUUAGUUCACAUUAUCACAUAUUAUUAAAAGUGGGAAGAUCUUAACCUCAAAGUUGGAUUACUAUUUUACCCCUACAAUAAAUUAAAAUUUUAUAAAAAAAUCUAAUUAAUUUUUAUCUAAUUAAUUAAAAAUUAAAUAUAUAUAUCAUACUACAUAAUAUAUUAAUAUUUCAAAUUAUAAUACUAUAUCCUUCUAUUUAAUUUUCUAAAGUAUUUAAAGCUAGGGAGAAAGUUUUAAUUUAUGUAGUCAAUGUCUUUCAAUUUCGUAAGGCAAAUGAUCAGAUUUUUUAAAGUCUUUCAUGCAUCACUUAAUUACUGAAGUUGAAAGGUUUUUUCUGCUUUAAAUUUUGAACACACAACUUAACUUACAUUCAAUUACAAUGUAUACGGUAAAUGAAAAGAUCACUCUUUUGAAUUUUCAUAUGUCACUUCAACCUUUCUAUUUAACUUGAAUUAUUUUCAUCUUCCACAUAUUAUUGAAAUAUAUAGAUAUUUAAGACAUGUAGAAAGAAAAUAACAACACAAAUCAAGAUCACUCAAAAGUACAAGAAUUCAUAUUCCAACCUUUUUUCUUGGAAUGAGAAUUUUCUUGGUCUUCUCUGUUGCAUGAAACUAUAUGAUGGCACAGAAAGGUUCUAAUACAUUUGAAAGUGUUAUUUUGACAUUUAGAUGGACGUACAAUAAAUCUAUUGAAAGAGUAAGUCACAAUUUAAUUAGCUAUCAAUUUUUUCCUUGAUACUUUCCGUUUUAGUUUUGUUAUUUAUAUAAUUCUUCCUUCUAUAUUUAAUGAUUCGAUUGUUAUAUUUAGAUAAUAUGUAGGUAUAUUAAUAGAAAAAAAGUAAGGUGGACUACAAAUUUGGGAUAUGUUGUUCAUAAUGUUUUUUAUAUUUCUUUGAUUGUUUGUCAGGGUAUAAAAUGAAUUUCAUUGUGUAUGUUCCUUUUGGCUAUGAUUCAAUCCUAAUGCAUAAUUUUUCUCUCUGAUAUGGUGUCCCCUCUUCAAUCAUUUUGUGCUAUAUUACAUUGUGCCAUAAGUUUCCUUAAGUUUUCAUUGUAUUUGUCCCUUUUUUUCCUACCAAGGUUGUUUUUGGUUGAAGGGUAAAAAAUAUUUAAACAAUAGAGUAUAAAAUUGGAUUAUCAUUUUAUCCCUAUGUUAAAUCAAAAUAUUAUAAAACAUUUACUUAAUUAAAUAUUAAAUAGUAAUCAUUUUAUAUGCUACACUAAAUAUUAAAAAUCUGAAAAUGUUAAGUCAAAAGUUGAAAGACAAAAUAUUCAUAAAAAAAACAUUAGGCAUUUCUACCCUUUUAAAGACUAAAUUAGUUCCAUUUUUAAAAUCUUUUUCUUUAUACUAAAAAGUAAAUUAUUUUAUUAUGAGACCAUUGAGUUAGGAAGACCAUAAUGCCCACUAAAGAUUGAAUGAUUAUUUUAAUCUGUAAGUGUAAAUUAUUCAUUCAUUCUGUUAAAGGAAUGCUGAUCGAAAAGAUGGAAGAUCUUGCAAUGUUUCAUCGAUAAUAAUUUAGACAAAUUACUUGGUGCAUCUUUAAUUGCUACUAUUAUUUUGAAUAAUAAUUGCAGUCAUUGUCUUCUUUCAUUUCAUUGUGAUAAGGCGUAAUAUAUUCAUCUUCAUAACUUAUACUAUUUAAUUACUCUAUUUUUAUCCAUAUAAUUCAUCUUUAUUUGUUUCAUGAGGAUCCUAACUAUGGUUAUUCUUUUUAUUCUAUAGUUUAAAUAAUGUACCGCUUAUAUAAUUAUUGUUCUAUUUGAUUCAUACUUUAACUAAAUGAAGAAGACUCUUGAAUUAUAAUUGUCAACAAAAACUCGAAAAAAUAUAUAGUGAUUCUGUAUUUCUUUUUCCAUAUACAUAUUGUGUUAUGAUUAAAGUCUUAAAAAAGAUGUGUAUGUUGUUGCAUGUUUUUUUCUUUGUUUAUUUUUUAUGUGUUUUCUCUCUAUUAAACUUCUUUAAUUUGAUUUUCUAUAAAUUUCUGAUGGUUCUAAGUGUAUUUUUAUUUAGGCUAAAAUUAAUCUUUUGUGACUAUAAUGCAAAUUGGCUAAUUACUAUCUAAAGUUCUAAAUUUACAGUUUGUUGCUUAGAAUAAAUUUUAAACAUUAAAAUAAGAUCCCUCAUUUGAUGUUUCUUGUCACAAUUUUAAAAUUUUAUUUAUAAUUGUUACAUUUUAUUAUAUGCAUGUACACGUAGAAUUCUAAUUAUUCUAAUGAAUAUAUAAAAAUUAGCAUGGGACACACGUGCAACGCACGUGUCCUGAAACUAGUUGAUUAAAAAAAUGAACAUGUUUGUUAGAUAAUUUUCAUCAUGUUACUAUACUUUGUUCUAAUCACAAUGGUGUUUGAGUAGAAUAGAGUGUACAUUGACUAUUCACGGGGUGCCUGUUACUUUCUACCAUUUAUAUAUUAAGGAUGGUGACCAAACAUUUCUUUCUGUUAAUUCAAACUACAUAAUAAGUCAAAAUAUUUCUUUUGUUUCAUUUAUGCGACCUUAUUUAACUAAUUAUAAUGAUUAAAAGCUUAUAUAAGUUGACUUGGUGUAAACAUUUGGUGCAGAUAACUUCUUACUCCUAAUUAUUUGCUAAUGCAACAUACUACUUAGCUAAUUGCUAAUUCAACAUAUUACUUAGCUAAUCACUAUUAGUGGAAAUCAUUAUUUAUUGAAUCGACUUUUCUAAAAGACAUUUCAAACUUAAUCAUAGAGCAAUUAUUACAUUUCUUUCAAUCUAUGCAAGACAAAUGGUACCUUAUGGUUGAAGGCAAAUUUAAAAUAGUCCUUUGAAUAUACUUCGAGGGAUAAGAAGCAAUGGUGAAAUCAGAAAUUUUACUGAAAAAUGUUAAAAGUAUAAAAAAGUAAAUACACGUAACAAAAAUUAAAGGAGGGGUGGGGGAAUUAACAUAUAGUAUUUAUACAUAAAAUUAAAAUUUCAACCUAGUUAUAAUUUUUUGAUGAAUGAUGUAUAUUGCAAUUGUAUGUCACAAAAGGCAUAAUUUCGUUAAUGUCCAAAGUACCCUAACUGAAGGUCAAAAAUGUUUAAUUGGAUAUUAGAAAGACUCAAAUUGGCCGAUAACUCCGGGACUAAAGCGUCAUUUUCCCAUUUGCUAAACAAAAAUGUCACAUUUUGUUGGCGUUCUGUAUACACAAAAGAGAAUUAACCAAUCAACACGUUUUUUAAUUCCAUUUUUCUAAGAAAACUUAGAGUUAAUAGUAAAUAUACACUUAAACUAAUUUUUUUCGCGAGUUUCAUACUUUAACUAUUCAUGGUUCUUUUUAAUUACUAAACUUUCAACUUUUCAUGAAUUUCAUAUCUUAAUUAUCACUCCUUAAACACACACCCCGAUUCUGAAUUGGCCUAUACACACUUAUUGUCAAUUGAAAAUAAAUAUUUAGCUAACUCAACAUCGAAAUAUAUUUUAAUAUAAAUAGAAUGAUAGUUUAGAUAGUCAAGAAAAUAGUGAAUAAUUAAGAUAUGAAAUACCAAUUAAAUUUUAACUUUUAAAGCCAAGCAAAAUCAGUGUCUUUUGCCAAUGCAAGAAAAAAAGGAAAAUGAAAAAAAAAAAACAUUUCAAAUAAUUCUAGCCUCCCACUUUCUUUUAACUUUUUCUUGUUCCUUUCCUCAUUAUUAUAAAAUAUGUGGUAGAAUAGAUGGUUGAAUAUUUCUAGUGGCAUCAAUACUUUUUGCUCCCUCCCUCUUGCAAUUUUUUUUUUUUUAUAAAUACUCAAUUCAUUAUUUUUCAAAAAUAUUAAAUUAUAAACUCAUAAUCCUAAAAAUGUCACAACAAAUUUAAUGAUAAAAUUUUAAAGAUCGGAUCUAAAAAGUUCCUAUUCUAAAUCUGCGAUAGACCCGCCCCUCCCCCCUCUCCCCUCUCCGCCCCACCAAACCCCCAAGUGGUACCUUCUCACUCCUAUAAAUUCAUGCUCUGUUUUUGCUCUGUUUUUUUUUAGUACAACAAAACUUCCAUUAUGUCUCAAAAUCUUGAAGAUGUGAGUAGUUGGAGCUUCAUACAAAUCCUCAACAACCCUUCUACCUACCAUCAUCAACUCGAUUAUAAAGAAGACGAUAAUGAUAACGUCUACAUUCACCCUUCUACGAAGCUAUCUUCUCUCGUCAUGAGCACGAAAAGCUUGGAGAUGUGCACGGAGAGCUUAGGAAACGAGACGGGUUGUUAUUUCAACGAAAGCAUGGAGGAAAGGGACAUUUCUCAUGGCGUUCAACGAUCAAAAUGUCGAGAAUUCAAGAAAAGAAUUAAAAGGACAGUGAAUUUCCCACCUCCGCUGACUUCAAUCAGCGGAAAUGAGAGGGUUAGAAUAAGAUCUCACCGUGAAGGUGGUCGUUUAGUGUUAAGAGCUGUAAGCAUACAUGCUUGCAGCUCUUACUUUAAAGCAGAGCGUGCCAAUGGCACGCUCACGCUUUCGUGGCGAAAUGAUGGUACUAGUAGUAAAGUUGCACAAAUGGCUGAAGUUGAAAAUGGUGAAGAGGCAAAUAGUUGUAGAAAAUUAACUAGUGAAAUUGGGAUACCAAGAAGGUGUAAAGAAAAAAGUGGAAGUAGAAUUAAAGGGAUUUCAAAUUGGGGCCAAUUUUGGGUGGCCAUUUCCUAAAAUACUAGUAUAUUGUAAUGGUGAUGUUCGAACCAUCUUGCGUGUAAUUAUUUCUUGUUCUUCUAAGAGAAUGUAUCUCAACUUUCCAUUGGUGGUGAAUUACAAUUUAUUUUGUUUUUUCACUUGAUAUUCGAAAUUUACUUUGAAACUUUUAUUAAUUUGAAUUUACACCGUAAAGAGAUCGUAUACAUCAUACCAUAAACUUUGUUUAUAUGAUGAAUUACAAUGAUAAGUACAACUUGAUUUAUGAUUAUGGAGCGCGCUCAUAGUGCAAAAUUCAGUUCAAACGUUGUGAAAUUUGAGUUGAGAGACUAUAUACCUCAAAAUGCAUGUCUCAUUUUAUUUAUACAUAUUUUUCACAAAUAUAUACAAACUUUGAACCUAAAAUUACCAGUUAUGUCAAAUUUGCAAAUCCAUUACUGAAUUUGUCACUAAAUGUAUAAAAGGGGUUUUGAUUUAAAAUAUUUGUUUUCUCUAUUCGAUGUCCAAUAUCUAAAGACUCAACUAAUCUGAUUUCAUGCACAACAAAACUCAUUUUUUAGGAUGACACUCCCAAUUUCUUUUUAUUUUGGUGGAAAUGUUACUAUAUCUCAUCAAUUUUAAAGGGUCACAUUCAUCCUAUAAUUGUUGCAUGUGUUAAUCAUUUGAAAAGGAAAAAAGUUCUUGCCACAACAAGUGGCUACUUCCCUGUCAAAAAUUCAGUACUAUCUUGACCUAUUCAUAUUAUUUGUCUUUUAUAAUUUUAUACAUUUUCAAAAAAAGUUAUAUUCUUUUACUUAAUUAAUACUCUACUAAUUUAUAUAGCGAGGAUGACUUUAAAAAAAUAUAUACAUUAAAUAUUUGAAACAAAUUCAGUUUAUCAAAACGAUUAAUAUUUAAAAUUCUAUCACAUGCAUGAGCAAUGAUCCAUUCACAAUAUAGGGACAUGUUAUAACAUGUUACUUCUCAUUACUUUCGUCCACCUAUCGUACCAAAAAUAUACAUGGCGUUAAGAUUUUGGCAUAUCAAUAUCUUUACUACUAACAUAAUGGUUAAAGUGAUAAAAGAACACUUUUCGAUCCACAUGAAAAACAUAAUGAUUUAGAUAUUGUCUCAAAGAAAGCUUGAUAAAAUAAAUAUAUUUGUGAAGAUAUGAACUACGAGACUUAAAAAAAAAAGAGAGAACAAAAAGAAACCUAAUUAUUGGUUGGGUUUAUUUGGUCCCAAUCACAUCAACUUGACAAAGGUGUCCAUAGAACAACCUUACCAACAGACAGAAACAUACAUAGGAAGCAAAAUAUAUAUAUGUGGAUAAGUUUUAUGGAUGACUAGAUUUUAUUUAAGUUGUAAUAAUAUGCUAGGUCAAGAAAAUUACUAAGAAGAACAAAAAAAUAAAUUAAUAUUUUCCUUGGCUAGAAUGGAUGUUGAAAGAAAAAAAAGAAAUUAAAAGCUUGAAAAGAAAGAAACCCAAUAAGAAUAAGUUUGAUUGGUUCCUCAUUAGUGUCAUAGAUUUAAUGUUCUCAAAAAGUUGAAUUGAAUCUUUAAUUUUAAUUAUAUAUAAUUCUCUUCUUGUCCAUAUAUCUAGUCAAAUGGUAAAAGUUUGUGUCAUUGUCCAAAAAUGGAUAAGGCACCAUAUAGUGUUUGGGUUUGAAUCAAUUAAACCAUAUUCUUAAUAUAAUGUGAUUUUAGCAAAUAAUUCACAUUCAUUAAAAAUAUUAUACAUUUUAGGCGUAAUAUGUAGAUAUAUAUAUUUUAAUUUAGUCUUAAUUGAUAAUUAAAUACUUCAAUUUUUAAUAUACACAUUUAGAGAAUUGGGUGUCCACGCGAAGCAUAGUGAGGACAAGUUUCAAUAUUUUAGCUGUCAGUUAAGAUCAAGUUGAUGUACACUUUUAAAGUUAGAGUGUUUAUUGCCAAUUAAGGCUAAAUUUGAGUAUUUGUUUAUGUGUUAUACAUAGUAGAUUUAAAGCGAUAAAUGUAUAAAAAAAAGGUGAUUAAAGAUGAUAUGAUACAACUUCAACUUAUUGAAAGUAUGUCCUUAUAUAAAAAAUGUUAUAAAAGUUGAGCAUUGUGAUAGAAUAUUAGCCGGUAGUUGAGUAGAGCCGCAUGUCAUGUUUGGGAGGGAGGGGACUAGCCUUAGUAAUUAUUUAGUAACCGCGUAAUUUCUUAUUCCGCAUUAUUCAUUCCUUUCUAUUACUCCAUGCAUUUGCUUUUUCUAUUACUAUUUGUUAUUAUAUUUUUUCAUUCUACUUCAAAAUAUUUCUUCUGAUCAAGGAGUCAAUUGAAAUAACACCUCUACCUUAUAGAAAUAGAAGUAAAAUUUGUAUAUAUUCUAUUUUGUUCGAACUAGACAUGUGAAUUAUACUGAAUAUGAUAUUUUAUAUAAUUAAAAUAUUUUAUGUUUUAUGCAAUUUAUUCUCUUAGAAUCUUAGGAGUAGUAUUUAUGACUUCUAUUUGGAAUUAUAUAUCUUGUAGUGGCAAUACUUUUGUCUUUCUCUAUACAUAUAUAAUUUUGUCACUUAUCAAGAGGCAUGAAGGAGUAGGGGGGGGGGGGGGGGGGGGGGGGGGGGGGGGGGGGGGGGGGGGGGGGGGGGGGGGGGGGGGGGGGGGGGGGGGGGGGGGGGGGGGGGGGGGGGGGGGGGGGGGGGGGGGGGGGGGGGGGGGGGGGGGGGGGGGGGGGGGGGGGGGGGGGGGGGGGGGGGGGGGGGGGGGGGGGGGGGGGGGGGGGGGGGGGGGGGGGGGGGGGGGGGGGGGGGGGGGGGGGGGGGGGGGGGGGGGGGGGGGGGGGGGGGGGGGGGGGGGGGGGGGGGGGGGGGGGGGGGGGGGGGGGGGGGGGGGGGGGGGGGGGGGGGGGGGGGGGGGGGGGGGGGGGGGGGGGGGGGGGGGGGGGGGGGGGGGGGGGGGGGGGGGGGGGGGGGGGGGGGGGGGGGGGGGGGGGGGGGGGGGGGGGGGGGGGGGGGGGGGGGGGGGGGGGGGGGGGGGGGGGGGGGGGGGGGGGGGGGGGGGGGGGGGGGGGGGGGGGGGGGGGGGGGGGGGGUGGGGGGGGGGGGGGGGGGGGGGGGGGGGUCAUGGUGCCAUAUGGAUACUUAGAAAUCCAAACAAUUUCUUGUGGUGUGUCUACUUUUGUAUUUAAUUAUAAAAACACUUUUUUAUUGCAGUUCAUUUCUUCAAUAAAGCAAAUGACGUAUAGCUUUAGUUACACUUGUGGGAAGAAAUGAACUUCAAUAAAAAAAGGGUUGGUCAUUAACCUUUAGUUCCGCUUUUAAAUUCAAUGAAUGUAUAUUAACUUGAAAACGUUAUAAAAUCCCCUAAAAGUUCAAAUAUAUAGCAUGUUGGGUGUGUCAUCAUAUACAUAAUUUAUCCACUAGCUUUAUUAUUAUUAUUAUUAUUAUUUUAUAUGAAUCCAUUAACUUUUAUAUGGUGAGGUGUUAAAGGGACAAGAAUACUAUGAAUGGGACAUGAACAAGAUUUGCAUUAGAGGGAAUUCCCAUUCCAAUUUGACCUUUUUGGUAAGUUUGAGGCUGAGAAAUUUUGCAAUAUAUAGAAAAAAUUAAAUUAAAAAGAAAGAGCAAAAAAAUAAUAUACUUUAUAAAGAAAUGAGUAAAGGCCAUAUAUUUGUGUUGAAUAAUUAAACUACAUUUAGUUAAUUAAUUAUAAUUAAGCAUAAAGGGUUUGCUUUUACUUCUAUGCAAGUGACUAGUGAGCUUCAAGUGUUUACCUCACACUCAAAGCCACAAUAACAACAAUAACAAUAGCAUACCAUGGGGCACAGAGUCCGACACAGUAGUGAUGAGUUGAAGUGUCUAAAUGUGCAUCCAAAGUUGGUGUGUUUAGUAUAUUAAUUUGUUACAUUAUUAAAAACUAAAAAAAAAUACAGACUGAAAUACGUCACUGUCAUGAAACAUAGGGAAAUCGUAUAGAUACAGAGUUCCAUCUUUAAACUAUUACAAAUACUCCAAUCUAGUUAUCAAAUAUUCCAAGGGAAGAAGAAACAGAAAAGGAAUAAGUAUAAAGGAAACAACAAAAUUGUUGUUUUCCAUCAACUUGCAACAUAGGGUACAAUUUUUUUUUACAAUAUUUGAUAUAGGUAAGAUUACAACAUGGCGCACAGACUCCACUGGUGCGAUUACACUAGGAGCAAAAAACAGUUUUACUCAAAUUCACUAUUUCUUCAUUCAUCAUCAUAGAUAUCAUCAAGGGAUUUGGAAAUUCCAUAUAGAUCUUUUUCACGUGCUCCGGAUCCAUCAUUUGCCUCAGUAUGUUCCUCAGGUGAACAUGAAAUAUCCAAUCCCAUUCCUCUAAGUAAGCCUUCGUAGGACGCAGAGAGAUCUUCUGAGGCCAACUGGUGGUACUCAACAAGUUGUCUAAGGCACUGGUUCUCCCUAUUCAAGUUUGCAUUUUCAUUUGCAAACCUGGAUUUUUCAGCUAGAAGUGCCUCCAUUUGGAGCCUCACCUAAGUAAAUUUAUAAGAUAAACAGAAGGUUAGAUACAGACAAUUUCGACUAGUAAACAGUUUCGAGUUUCAUGGUUCAAGUAGUAAACAAAUGAGUGUCACGGUUCAAGCAGUACACAAUUUGAGUGUCACAGUUCAAGUAGUAUAUUUACCAUAUGAUACUGUCAGUUUAUAGCAAAGUAUAUUUCACAUUCUAUCAUGAUUCAAGCAGUAAACAAUUUGUGUAACGUGCUUCAAGUAGUAUAUAGUUUGAGUGUCACGCGGUUCAAGUAGUAAGCAAUUUGACUGUCACAUUCAACUAGUAUCACUCUAUGUUAUCAACCAUAUGAUACUGUCCGUUCAUAUAGCAUAAUAUAUAUUUUACAUUCUGUCACAGUUCACCACAAAGUACAAUUUGAGAGUCACGGUUCAAGCAGUAAACAACUUGAGUGUCACACUUCAAGUAGUAAACAAUUUAAGCGUCACGCUUCAAGUAGUAACCAAUUUGAGUGUCAUGGUUCAAAAAUAAACAUUUUAAGUGUCACAGUUCAAAGUAAUAUACAUUUUGAGUGUCACUGUUCAAGUAGUAUCACUCUAUAUUAUCUACCAUAUGAAACUGUCAGUUUAUACAGCAAAGUAAAUUACAUUCUGCUAUGGUUCAAGUAGUAAACAAUUUUACUGUCAUGCUUCAAGUAGUAAGCAAUUUGUGUGUGACGAUUCAAAUAGUAAACAUUUUGAGUGUCACGCUUCAAGUAGUGUAUCACUCAAUGUGAUAUAUUAUACUGUCAGUUUAUACAACUUAAAUCUAUUUCACAUUGCAUCGCAGAUCAAGUAGUAAACAAUUUGAGCGAGGAUGUCAAGUAUUACCAGGUCGUCUUCUUCUGGUGGUAUCCCAGUGUCAAAGCCAUCACGAAGCCUUCUAUUCUCCUCCUCCAAAAGAGCAGAACGUUCUUGCAUAAAGCGCAAGUCUGAUCUCAUUGAUUUCAGUUCUCGAGCUAACGUGGCUGCUUUUGACGCCAUGGAAAUCGCAAGCUUCACAGAGUUAAUAAUGUCAAGUUAGCUUGUGAACACAAAUGCAAAAGUAACUAUAAUGUAACACCAACAAAAAUAAAAUGAGAGAGACGGGUACCAACAUUUUUGGCUUUCUUGAACUUCCCAAUAUGUUUCAAGACCUGCCCAUUUUCUUUUUUGGUAUCAUCAUCUUGUUGUGAAUCCUCCGAGCAUUCGUCCAAUUUCCUCUUCAAUCCUUUGUUUCCUUCUUCAGUCUCUUCGUUUUCUUCGUCUCCCUCAUGUUUACCUUCCUUUGAUUGGUUUUCUCGACCUGCCUUCUCCAUUGUGCAAUGAAGUAUAUCUGUCAAUGUGGGUGGUUUUGCUAGAUCCCUUGCUCCCUGUAUGAGAAAAUUACAGGAUGCAUGAUCAAUAACUCCAUGUAUGCACGGGCAAACACAGUUUCAACUUGUAUGCUUUCUUUUUCAACUAUAUUAUGCAGUGCAUUUACUCCUAAGUACUCUUCUUAAGCUUCAACUUCUACAAAAUAUAGUCAUUAUGACUUAUGUACGCCUUGAAACGUUACAUUCCAGAAGUGUAAGAGUAUCUAUGAGCAGCAUCUUCUUCUAACCCCAUCUAGCAAUUAUUUAUGAUUACAACAACACCAACAUACCCAGUAUAAAGUGGGCUCUGGGAGGGUAGAGUGUACACGGACCUUGCCUCUACCUCGGAGGUAAGAGAGGUUGUUUCCGGUAGACCCUUGAUUCAAGGAAAACAAUCCAAAGCAAGUCCAGAAAAGGAGUAAUGGAAGUGAAAGCAUAUCAAGACAUUCUAAACAGUAACUACAACAAAAUAGUAAUGCUACGACUGCUAGAAUUGAUUGAUAUUAAGACAACACACUACAACACUGAUAAUCGAAGUACAAGAAACAACAAAUAGUAACAGAAACCAAAUGACAUGAAACUAAAGGAACAAUACUAGAAUUGACUGAUAUUUUAGACAACACACUACUACCUACUAAUUUACUACCCUACUCCGUGCCCUCCAUUUAUGAUUAACAAACACAAAUGCUCAUCCAAAUUAAGGUACAAAAACUCAGUUUACAAACCAAAAAUGCAUCCCAACAUUUGAAAAAAUCAUAGAUUUAAUCCUAUAUGAGCUUUAAUCAAA
rnacentral:lncRNA from 1 species